UACGUAGGCGGAAAAUUAAGUCAGUAGUGAAAUCCCGCAGCUUAACUGUGGAACUGUUAUUGAUACUGGUUUUCUUGAAUAUAGUUGAGGUAGGCGGAAUGUAUAAUGUAGCGGUGAAAUGCUUAGAUAUUACACAGAACACCGAUUGCGAAGGCAGCUUACUAAGCUAUGAUUGACGCUGAGGUACGAAAGCGUGGGGAGCGAACAGGAUUAGAUACCCUGGUAGUCC
rnacentral:rRNA from 1 species